rnacentral:misc_RNA from 1 species
AAAGACUGUUGGUCUAUGAGUAUAUGUCGAUGGGAAGCUUGGAAAACCAUCUUUUUGGUUUGUUGCCUGAACGGCCACCAUUGAGUUGGAACACUAGAAUCAAGAUUGCUCUUGGUGCAGCCCAGGGCCUUGAGUAUCUUCACUGCACAGCCAAUCCGCCAGUCAUCUACCGUGACUUGAAAUCUGCAAAUAUUUUACUCGAUGAUGACUUCAAUCCAAAGCUCUCAGAUUUUGGACUGGCAAAGUUAGGACCGGUUGGUGACAACACUCAUGUUUCCACCAGAGUUAUGGGAACGUAUGGCUAUUGUGCUCCGGAGUAUGCCAUGAGUGGCAAACUGACCCUUAAAUCUGAUAUUUAUUGCUUCGGUGUAGUUCUCUUGGAGCUAAUUACAGGUAGGAAAGCUAUCGACUCCACCAAGAAACCUGGAGAGCAAAAUCUGGUUGCUUGGUCUCGCCCUUUUCUAAAAGACCGGAGGAAGUUCAUUCAAUUAGUCGACCCACUGCUGGAAGGACGCUACCCUCUUCGUUGUCUACACCAUGCAAUCGCAAUUGCUGCAAUGUGUCUCCAGGAGCAACCAACAUUCCGGCCAAUUAUCAGUGAUAUCGUUGUGG